GACGAACGCUGGCGGCGUGCCUAACACAUGCAAGUCGAGCGAAUGAAGUUCUUUCGGGAAUGGAUUUAGCGGCGGACGGGUGAGUAACACGUGGGCAACCUGCCUCAUAGAGGGGAAUAGCCUUCCGAAAGGGAGAUUAAUACCGCAUAAGAUUGUAGUACCGCAUGAUACAGCAAUUAAAGGAGCAAUCCGCUAUGAGAUGGGCCCGCGGCGCAUUAGCUAGUUGGUGAGGUAACGGCUCACCAAGGCGACGAUGCGUAGCCGACCUGAGAGGGUGAUCGGCCACAUUGGGACUGAGACACGGCCCAGACUCCUACGGGAGGCAGCAGUGGGGAAUAUUGCACAAUGGGGGAAACCCUGAUGCAGCAACGCCGCGUGAGUGAUGACGGCCUUCGGGUUGUAAAGCUCUGUCUUCAGGGACGAUAAUGACGGUACCUGAGGAGGAAGCCACGGCUAACUACGUGCCAGCCGCCGCAGUAA
rnacentral:rRNA from 1 species